UGAACGCUGGCGGCGUGCCUAACACAUGCAAGUCGAACGAAGCACCUUACCUGAUUCUUCGGAUGAAAGUUUGGUGACUGCGUGGCGGACGGGUGAGUAACGCGUGGGUAACCUGCCCUGUACAGGGGGAUAACAGCUGGAAACGGCUGCUAAUACCGCAUAAGCGCACGAGGAGACAUCUCCUUGUGUGAAAAACUCCGGUGGUACAGGAUGGGCCCGCGUCUGAUUAGCUGGUUGGCAGGGUAACGGCCUACCAAGGCAACGAUCAGUAGCCGGUCUGAGAGGAUGAACGGCCACAUUGGAACUGAGACACGGUCCAAACUCCUACGGGAGGCAGCAGUGGGGAAUAUUGCACAAUGGGGGAAACCCUGAUGCAGCAACGCCGCGUGAGUGAAGAAGUAUUUCGGUAUGUAAAGCUCUAUCAGCAGGGAAGAUAAUGACGGUACCUGACUAAGAAGCUCCGGCUAAAUACGUG
rnacentral:rRNA from 1 species